AAAAUAAUUUAAAAGGAAAAAUAAAUCCUAAACCUAAACAGUUACUACAUGUGAUUAUUAUGUAUUUACAUCAAGCAAAGCAAGCAAGCAAGCUGCAGCAUACACGACGGUGACAAUGCCUCCUCCUCCUCAAUACGAACUUGACGGCGGCUCUCGUUUUCGCAAUGUCAAGUUCGCUCCCAUCUCCGACCGCGAGAAAAAUAUCCUUCGCCAUCUCACAGGCAAGCUCACUUCCCUCUCCGAAACCCAGAUAUACCUCCUCUCCGAUGAAGAGUUAACUCGCCACGUCGUGUACGAGUUAUCUCGCCUACCCUACGACGAGUUCUGUCGUUUCUUGGCGACCGAGAUUUCCCCCUUCUUACUUAUCGUCGAUCGAGCCAUUUUAUCUCAGAUUUACCGUAAAGUCGAAGCCAAACCCAAAGAGGAAGAACAAAUUACUUUGGACGGGAUAGUUGUUUUGAUUGUCGCCUCAGUUUCUAUCUUCGUAGUCACAACAAGAUUGGUACGCAAUUUCUGCCAGUGGUUGAACACAAGAUUGCAAUAUUUUAAAGGUGAUUUCGUUGUUACUACCAUUGCUCUUCAGCCAGGGGGACUGAUAACUUCAAAUAGACCCAUUGUUUUCUCUAAAUAUUCAAUACCACAAGAAGGUGUCCAGGGUUUUAAAGACAUUUUAUACCUUCGAAAAGCCAAAACAGUCUUUAGACAGCAGGAGCGACUGAUACCUUCAAGUAGACCCAUUUUUUCCUCUAAAUAUUCAAGAGGAGCAUUUGUGCAGGGUCUUAAAGGCAUUAGGUACCAUCGAAAGGCCAAAACAGUUUUUAGACAGAAAGUAGAGCAGCAUCAGGAAGGCACAUAUAGAGUUGUUGUUUGAAGCAGUAGAUCUACUGGUAUAUGCACAUCCUGAUUUUAAUUGAUUUGCUUCUAUCUGCAUGGUUUAUCUCUUUUGCCUUUUGUUAUUAUAUGAAAUUUUUGUUAUAUUGUUGCACUUAGUAGAAACAUUGCUCUAUAUGUUUUAUUCUUUGUUGGGUACCUAAAGUUAGUGCUGGAUUGAGACAAUUUUCGGAUUUCAAAGUUCAAGCUGGGAAUAUUUUUUAGCUUUCACAUAGAUGUCAAUCAUAAAUUUUUGGUAUGGAAUCAAUUUUUAAUGAAUGUAACAGAAACUGAGAGUAUCAUAGAGAAGAAGAGAGAAAUCUAUUAUAUUGUAUUGAUGAAAUGAAUCAUAACUACAAUAGUGAACAGAGAGUGGGUAAACGAUGCACUUUGCCUAAACAACAGGAACUACAAAAAUCCAAAUUUGAUUUAUGAGGUAAAGAAACAUUGCAGAUAGCUAAAGUAGCUUUAAGAGCCUCAUGAUGAGCAUGACCUAGCCUAUUAUGCCACAUGGUGUAAACAGAUGGACCUAGGCUAGACAUAGUAUUAUUUGCAGUAGAAUUAAAAGAAGUAUUAGGACUUAUAGCUAUAGAGUUGACUUGUGGUGCAGUAGAGAUGCUAGAAUCCAAGACAUAGAGGCCAUCCUUGCCCAGCUUUCCUUGCAAAAGCACUUCAGAAUUGGCCUGAGAUUUGACAAGACACAAAUCAGGGUGAAAUUCAAAAUAAACAGCAUUAUCUCGGGCAAACCGACUCACUGAAAUGAGGUUUUUGGUAAUGGCAGGAACUAAGAGUAAGUUGUUGAGUGAAAGUCUAGUGUGUGGUUUGUAAGGUGAAUGAAAUUUAGCUGAGCCUACAGAUGUGAUAGACAAACCUUGGCCGUUGCCUAAUAGAACUUGAUCUGAUCCUGAAAGAGAGAUACUGUCCAGAAGAUUCUCAGAGUUGUUGGUGACAUGGUGUGUAGCGCCAGAGUCAGGGUACCAUAGCUGAGAAGCUUGUGAGGUUUGUGCAUCAGAUCCAGUGAGAUAGGCUUGAGGUUUGCCUAGCUCCUGAAGAAACAGGACGAGCGGAAGGGAGAAAACCAGGUGGUGGAUAAGCAGAUGGAUGUGGUUGAGCACUGUGCCAAGGAUUGAGCCACUGAUUCCCACUUGGAGGACGAGCCGGAGCCACCUGCCAUGGUGGUUGAACAACGGCAGAGUUGCGAUGGUAACAGAUACGCGCAUCAUGACCAAAUUUCUCACAGAUCUGACGCUGAACAUUGGAUCUUCCACCACUUCUACCACCACCACGGCCUCUACGGCCACCACUCCGGCCACCACGACCACCAUGGAAGUCUCCACCUAACAGAUGAGGUGCAGCAGAACUAGAUCCAGUAGAAUCAACAGGUGAAAUUGGUGGAACCUGAGCUACAUUGACCGGGAGAGGUUCAGAGAGUACCGCUUUCUUCAAUUUCUCCAGCUUAGCUUCACGAGCAAGAAGCAUCGCUUCAGCUUCGACAAUAGGAGUAUAGGACACAGAUCAGAGCGAUACUAAAUAAUCACACUAAGAGCAUUAUACUCAUCAGGAAGUCCAUCAAGAAUAGCUUCAAGUUGAUCGCGAUGGUUGGUCGGAUCUCCAAUGGAGGCAAGAAUGUCGGUGAUGAGUUGAAUGCUAGCAAGAUAUUCCGUAACAGAUUUCUCACCUUUAGAGAUGGAUUUGAGUUCCGAUCGUAACUGCCUCAAUUUCGCACUGAUCUGAGCGUGAAAGUACUGGUGAAUUUCAUCCCCACUUGGUUUGCAUGAACACAGCGAACAACACGAGGCAAAGAGAAAAUCAGAUUAGCUUAAGAGAAGUUUGUUCCAAAAGGAAAGAUUCAUGAAGGUUGUAUUUUUUUUUUUUUGAAGCAGAAAGUUUGUCAUUUUCACAACGUUGAUUGCAUGAGUUGAAUUUUACGAUCGGGUUAUUUUGUAAACAAAACAUUGUGUGGUACUUAGCUUGAAUGUCUUAUACGGUACUAUGUGCAAAAGGUCCCUAUAUAUAAGGUUUGAUUUUAA